rnacentral:rRNA from 1 species
UACGUAGGGUCCAAGCGUUAUCCGGAAUCACUGGGCGUAAAGCGUGCGUAGGCGGAUGUUUAAGUGUGAUGUUAAAUCGUGGGGCUCAACCCUGUCGUUGCAUCGCAUACUGGGCAUCUAGAGGACGGCAGAGGCAAGUGGAACUCGUAGUGUAGCAGUGAAAUGCGUAGAUAUUACGAAGAACACCAAUGGCGAAGGCAGCUUGCUGGGGCCGACCCUGACGCUGAGGUACGAAAAGCGUGGGGGAGCGAACAG